rnacentral:rRNA from 1 species
UACGUAGGUGGCAAGCGUUGUCCGGAAUUAUUGGGCGUAAAGCGCGCGCAGGUGGUUUCUUAAGUCUGAUGUGAAAGCCCACGGCUCAACCGUGGAGGGUCAUUGGAAACUGGGGAACUUGAGUGCAGAAGAGGAAAGUGGAAUUCCAAGUGUAGCGGUGAAAUGCGUAGAGAUUUGGAGGAACACCAGUGGCGAAGGCGACUUUCUGGUCUGUAACUGACACUGAGGCGCGAGAGCGUGGGGAGCAAACAGG